GCCCCAGUUACUUUUCCUGUGCUAGCUGUGCUUUGCAUCCUUCUGCUGUAAUUUGUCAGAAAGCCGUAACUACUGUACAUGUCGAGUUCUAUGAAUGUUCCUAGCAAACGUGAAAUCUAGCAAUGGUCUUGGGGGCCUCCUGACAUUUUACCCUGAGCGUCAUUUGGGCAGCGGAUUUGUUUACAUAUUGACUAUCUGGAGCAUUGCUCAGGCAACCACUAGAGAAAAUGCCCCUAUAAAAUGAAGGAGUAAACCAUAAAAGGUAUGGACACAGGAAUUAGAGCUUCAACACAGCAAACAAUAUAGGGAAUUUCCAGGAUGCCAGCAAAGACCAGUCUUAAGCCAUGAAACAGAUCUACAGAGCAAUCAAAACUAAAUCAAGAAGCAUGAAGGCUCUAGGAAGGGUGCCUCAGGAAAAUAACCAAAUGAAUUGUCACAGGUGAGUCACUACAAAGACAGAUUGAAGCCUAUGGGAAAAUAAAUUCAGAAUCAUGGUAACCAAGCAUGAUUUUAAGAUGAGGCAAUUAUUUAAUUUAAAAAACAAAGUUGUAAGGAAAAAACAUAGCCACAUGCAAUAUUUGCUUCAUUACUUUAUGUCAUAUAAUGUUAACACUAAUUCUGGAUUUAACCAGUAAUUGUAUUAGUAAGAUGAGAUAAAGCAAAGGAAGAUAUGGGAGUUAAAAUUUGUAAUAAAGAUAAUGUCAAAUACUGGUGGACCAACAGAGAGCAACACACCCCAUUAUUAUAAGGUUAGCUGCUAAAAAAUGUCGAAGUGGUUUUCCUGAAGAGCACGGGACAAGGCAAGUUGCAGAGGGAACAGGAG
rnacentral:lncRNA from 1 species